UACGUAGGGGCAAGCGUUGUCCGGAUUUAUUGGGCGUAAAGAGCGUGUAGGCGGCUAUACAGGUCCGUUGUGAAAACUCGAGGCUCAACCUCGAGACGCCGAUGGAAACCGUAUGGCUAGAGUCCGGAAGAGGAGAGCGGAAUUCCUGGUGUAGCGGUGAAAUGCGCAGAUAUCUGGAGGAACACCGGUGGCGAAGGCGGCAUCCUGGACCGGUAUUGACACUGAGGCGCGAAAGCCAGGGGAGCAAACGGG
rnacentral:rRNA from 1 species